GCCCAGGUGGUGAAAUUGGUAGACACGCCAGCUUGAGGGGCUGGUGUCCUUAAGGAUGUGCAAGUUCGAGUCUUGUCCUGGGCACAA
rnacentral:tRNA from 2 species